UAGGCUUAGAAAACAGGUGAAGAUCUGUGAGCAUAUGGUUUCAUGCAGAGAAAGAGCACAACAGAAGCAAUGUUUGCUCUGAGAGAACUGAUGGAGAUGUAUAGAGAAGGCCAAAAGGAGUUACAUUGUGUGUUUGUGCAUUUAGAGAAAGCUUAUGACAGCGUGCCAAGAGAAGAACUGUGUUAUUGUAUGAAGAAGUCUGAAGUGACAGAGAAGUAUGUGAGGGUAGUGCAGGACAUGUAGAGGUGAAAGUCA